CCACCAACCAGAGUGCCUGGGUCUACCUGCGCUGCAUCCUCUCCCGAGCCACCCCCCCGCCGAGGAUCAUCUGCGUGUACGUCAACCGAGAGGACGCCACGUUGGUUGUCGUCUUCUCCCGCCCUGUCGUGGUGAGCCCGGAUCGCCCGGACCUGACGGCGACCCUGGAUGGCUCCGCCCUGGAAGGGGCGUGGUGCUCAGGGGAAGGGCGGCCAUGCC